rnacentral:rRNA from 1 species
AUUGAACGCUGGCGGCAUGCCUUACACAUGCAAGUCGAACGGCAGCACGGGAGCAAUCCUGGUGGCGAGUGGCGAACGGGUGAGUAAUACAUCGGAACGUGCCCAGUAGUGGGGGAUAACCCGGCGAAAGCCGGACUAAUACCGCAUACGACCUACGGGUGAAAGCGGGGGGUCGCAAGACCUCGCGCUAUCGGAGCGGCCGAUGUCAGAUUAGCUAGUUGGUGGGGUAAAGGCCUACCAAGGCGACGAUCUGUAGCUGGUCUGAGAGGACGACCAGCCACACUGGGACUGAGACACGGCCCAGACCCCUACGGGAGGCAGCAGUGGGGAAUUUUGGACAAUGGGCGCAAGCCUGAUCCAGCCAUGCCGCGUGCGGGAAGAAGGCCUUCGGGUUGUAAACCGCUUUUGUCAGGGAAGAAACGCUCCGGGCUAAUACCACGGAGUAAUGACGGUACCUGAAGAAUAAGCACCGGCUAACUACGUG